rnacentral:lncRNA from 1 species
GAUAAGCGUGAGAAGCAGGGCUGACAAAUGUAUUUGGAGUCACUCGAAGGAUGGAAAAUACAUCGUAAAAUUGGCAAACCAGCAUUUGAUGGGUUUUCAUGCAAACCAUGCACAAUGAUCAUUUAACAUAUGGAAGUAUUUGUGGUAGUCAGAAGUCUCCCCCAAAGUUAAAAAUUUAACAUGGAGAUUGUUGAAUAAUAUCCCUCUAGUAAAAUCUAAACUACAGGAGAAAGGGAUUGGAAUUAUGAACGUGCGCCCUAGAUGUGAUAAGGAGGAAACCACCGAGCAUGUCUUAUUUGAUUGUGAAAAAAGCCAGGGCUUGCUGGUGAAAACUGGGUAUAUACUUUCAAGUAAGAUAGACCAAUGACAUAUAAUGAUGGAUGGAACAUCAAGCUAAAACAAUGGCAAAACGGGAGUUAACAUAAAUACUUUGCUACUUAUGGCGCCUUUGACUUGAGCGGAUUGAAUUUAUGUCGACUUGAAGGAUGUGUUGUGAUUAGACCUCC